GACGAACGCUGGCGGCGUGCUUAACACAUGCAAGUCGAACGGAAAGGCCCUGCUUUUGUGGGGUGCUCGAUUGGCGAACGGGUGAGUAACACGUGAGUAACCUGCCCUUGACUUUGGGAUAACUUCAGGAAACUGGGGCUAAUACCGGAUAGGAGCUCCUGCUGCGUGGGGGGGGUAGGAAAGUUCGGGCGGUUUGGGCUGGUCUGGCGGCUUAUCCGCUUGUUGGUGGGGUAGGGGAUUACCAAGGCUUUGAAGGGUAGCCUGCCUGGGAGGGGGACCGGCGUCAUUGGGACUGCGAGACGGCCCAGACGCCUACGGGCGGCAGCAGUGGGGAAUAUUGCACAAUGGGCGGGAGUCUGAUGCAGCAACGCCGCGUGCGGAAUGCCGGCUUUCGGGGUGUAAACCGCUUUCUCCGGUGAUGAAGAGUGAGUGACGGUAAUGGGUAAAGAAGCCCCGGCUAACUACGUG
rnacentral:rRNA from 1 species